AACUAGGCCACUUUUUUCAGCCUCAAAAAGUACUACACAAAGAAAAGGAACGUAGAUUAUUAACUCACUGGUGCUGUAUGGUGUUGUCAACAAUCCAAGAAGAGGCAAGUCAAAUGAUGCAGGAAGUCUAGUUGUAGACUUUCAAGUGUGGGACCACUUUUGAGGCUGCACAGCAAAUUGCCAAACCAUCCCAGACUAAAUCCCCUACUGUAUCUUCUGUUCCAUUUCUCCAUGAU